ACUUAACAAAGUCAUGUUAUUUAUUAAUCGAGAAACAGAAGCAGUUAUAUUUUACUAGUACUAUUAGAAGUCGAGGAAUUAUUCCGACUGCAACGCAGAUUAAAUCUACGGAUUUAAUUUAAGUUAUAUUACAGUUUAUCAAGUUAGCAGGUAAGGAAAAAGAUAUCAAGCAGAUACAGAAAUACGAUGAUUUAAAAUCGAAGCCAGUAUUUAUUUACAGUUCACAGAUUACAGUCUAGUUCCCAGCUUGGGGAAAAUCGUCUAAUAUAUUACAAAGGAUUGGACUCUACGUGGCUCACUUAAUGCCUUCACUCAAGUGUAGGCACAUUAGUCAAUAAGAGAUAAAAUUCAAAAGUAGAGAAUGGAGAGGAAAGAGCCGACCACCAACUCCAUUCCACCACCAUUUGCUUCCCCACCACUACACCUACUCUUCCACUUCACUACCAACUAUCCCCAUUAUGUAAUCACCACCAACUCCACUCAAUUGGCACCAACGUUCCACCACGAAAGAGAGAGUUUAAAAAAAAACAAAAUGUUGCAAAGCAAGAUAAAAGAAAAGGAAAAGUGUGCACUACAAUCCUUUGCCCACCACCUUUUGCUUUCCUCCACUACAUUCUCCCCACCAUCUUCGAUUCUUGAAGGCUACUAGCCAACACUUCUUCAAGCAAACAAUUCAGCAGCAACCUUCCUCCAUUCACCUCCAUUCAUUCCUUCUCUCAUACACUAAGCACCAGAAAGGGAGAUGAAGAGAAGUUAAUUCCUGCUGCCAAGUAUCGAGAGUUCCUUCCCCAUUGAAUUCAUUAUCAACAACAGCAGCUACCAACACAAAAUACUCAAGGUCAAGCGCGAGAGUAAGAACUACACAAGGAGUUAGAGUACCUUAGCAAAACUUUGCUAUCAGGUUGAGCUGUGAUGGGCGAUGAAGUGUUGUUGCUGAGUGGAGUUUUUGUCGAACUUAAAGUAGGCUCAGAAAGGAUACAUGUCUUCAUACAUGUAUCACAGUUAUGCUUUCCGCUGUAAACACUGAUUAUUUCAGUUACGCCUUCCGUUGCAAACUCUGAUAAUGUUUUAGCCAAGCCCCUAAUGAUGCCUUUUUCCUUUUUAAGGAAUAUAACGCGUAUACAAGUUCUUUGAGUACCCUUUUUAUGCGAACUAUGCCUUUUUCCUUUUUAAGGAAUAUUUCACGCGUAUUCAAGCUCUUUGAGUAUUCUUUUAUGCACCCCUUUCUAAACCCGCUUCUUAAUUUCCCUUCCCCAGUCAUGGUUUUCCCGGAUUAAUUAUCCUUAAUUAAGGCCGGUCGUGACAGAGUGGUAUCAGAGCAGUUCGUUUGCUCUGAGCCUAAGAGUUUAUUUAAGCCAAACUUAGAAUGGAUCACUAAAGUGUCUAGAGUUCAAUCGACAAAGCUCAGCACUUCAUCGCAUCACACUCAACGAAGCAGAAUGGUAAGCUAUUUCAAGUUUUGAGAUAAUGUUUACAAAAAGUGACAAAGUGUGUAACUGUUAAUAGCUAUGUUAUGUUGUUGAAUGAAAUGAUUUAUGCAAACA